AUUGAACGCUGGCGGCAGGCCUAACACAUGCAAGUCGAGCGGAUGAAGAGAGCUUGCUCUCUGAUUCAGCGGCGGACGGGUGAGUAAUGCCUAGGAAUCUGCCUGGUAGUGGGGGACAACGUCUCGAAAGGGACGCUAAUACCGCAUACGUCCUACGGGAGAAAGCAGGGGACCUUCGGGCCUUGCGCUAUCAGAUGAGCCUAGGUCGGAUUAGCUAGUUGGUGAGGUAAUGGCUCACCAAGGCGACGAUCCGUAACUGGUCUGAGAGGAUGAUCAGUCACACUGGAACUGAGACACGGUCCAGACUCCUACGGGUGGCAG
rnacentral:rRNA from 1 species